CACGUAGGGCGCGAGCGUUGUCCGGAAUUAUUGGGCGUAAAGAGCUCGUAGGCAGGCCUGUUGCGUCCGCUGUGAAAGCCCGGGGCUUAACCCCGGGUCUGCAGUGGAUACGGGCAGGCUAGAGGUAGGUAGGGGAGAAUGGAAUUCCCGGUGUAGCGGUGAAAUGCGCAGAUAUCGGGAGGAACACCGGUGGCGAAGGCGGUUCUCUGGGCCUUACCUGACGCUGAGGAGCGAAAGCGUGGGGAGCGAACAGG
rnacentral:rRNA from 1 species